rnacentral:tRNA from 1 species
GGGAAUGUGGCUUAGUGGUAGAGUGCUUGCCUAGCGUGCAUGAAGCCCUGGGUUCGAUUCCUCAGUACCA